GCGACGUUCAGACAGACGAUGAAGGGGCGGGGCCGAACUUGAAUUGACAGCCAGGCAGCGAGGAGGCGGGACUCAGGCUUGACUGACAGUGUUCUCCAACAGGCCAUCUCUCGCCUGGUGUGAACGCCUGUGCGGGCUUGUUAACUAAUCUGUGUUGAGGACGAGGUAAAGCAGGCUGGGUAAUGCUGAGCAGUGUCCUAAAUGAAAGACGGCCAUUGUGAUAAAACUGGUGGCAUCAGUUCAUAUCAAAGUGUCCAUAUCUAUGAGCCAAGUAGAGAAAGAAAAUAAAAAAUAAA